rnacentral:tRNA from 1 species
GCCUUUGUGGUGUAACAGUUAACACACUCGAUGUGUAUUCGAGAAGUCCAGGUUCAAAUCCCGGCAAGGGCA